rnacentral:tRNA from 1 species
GCCUGGGUGGCUCAGUUGGUUAAGUGUCUGGCUUCAGUUCAGGUCAUGAUCUCGCCGUUCGUGAGUUUGAGCCCCACCUUGGGCU